rnacentral:tRNA from 1 species
GGGCCCGUGGUCCAGUGGUUAAGACGCCACCCUCACACGGUGGUUACCGGGGUUCGAAUCCCCGCGGGCCCACCA